rnacentral:rRNA from 1 species
UACGUAGGGUGCGAGCGUUGUCCGGAAUUAUUGGGCGUAAAGAGCUCGUAGGCGGUUUGUUGCGUCGGCUGUGAAAUCCCGAGGCUCAACCUCGGGUCUGCAGUCGAUACGAGCAGACUAGAGUGUUGCAGGGGAGACUGGAAUUCCUGGUGUAGCGGUGAAAUGCGCAGAUAUCAGGAGGAACACCGGUGGCGAAGGCGGAUCUCUGGGCCGAUACUGACGCUGAGACGCGAAAGCGUGGGGAGCAAACAGG